rnacentral:rRNA from 1 species
GACCUCAGAUCAGGUAGGG